rnacentral:rRNA from 1 species
UACGUAGGGGGCAAGCGUUGUCCGGAAUCAUUGGGCGUAAAGCGCGCGUAGGCGGCCCGGUAAGUCCGUUGUGAAAGUCAAAGGCUCAACCUUUGAACGCCGAUGGAUACUGCCGGGCUAGAGUCCGGAAGAGGCGAGUGGAAUUCCUGGUGUACCGGUGGAAUGCGCAGAUAUCAGGAGGAACACCAAUAGCGAAGGCAGCUCGCUGGGACGGUACUGACGCUGAGGCGCGAAAGCGUGGGGAGCGAACAGG